GCGAUAGCGCGGUGGUCCCACCUGACCCCAUGCCGAACUCAGAAGUGAAACGCCGUAGCGCCGAUGGUAGUGUGGGGCUUCCCCAUGUGAGAGUAGGGAACUGCCAGGU
rnacentral:rRNA from 1 species